UGGGGAAUUUUGGACAAUGGGCGCAAGCCUGAUCCAGCCAUGCCGCGUGUCUGAAGAAGGCCCUCGGGUUGUAAAGGACUUUUGUCAGGGAAGAAAAGGCUGUUGCUAAUACCGACAGUUGAUGACGGUACCUGAAGAAUAAGCACCGGCUAACUACGUGCCAGCAGCCGCGGUAAUACGUAGGGUGCGAGCGUUAAUCGGAAUUACUGGGCGUAAAGCGAGCGCAGACGGUUACUUAAGCAGGAUGUGAAAUCCCCGGGCUCAACCUGGGAACUGCGUUCUGAACUGGGUGACUAGAGUGUGUCAGAGGGAGGUAGAAUUCCACGUGUAGCAGUGAAAUGCGUAGAGAUGUGGAGGAAUACCGAUGGCGAAGGCAGCCUCCUGGGAUAACACUGACGUUCAUGCUCGAAAGCGUGGGUAGCAAACAGGAUUAGAUACCCUGGUAGUCCACGCCCUAAACGAUGUCAAUUAGCUGUUGGGCAACUUGAUUGCUUAGUAGCGUAGCUAACGCGUGAAAUUGACCGCCUGGGGAGUACGGUCGCAAGAUUA
rnacentral:rRNA from 1 species